UAACGUCCGUCGUGAAGAGGGAAACAACCCAGACCGCCAGCUAAGGUCCCAAAGUCAUGGUUAAGUGGGAAACGAUGUGGGAAGGCCCAGACAGCCAGGAUGUUGGCUUAGAAGCAGCCAUCAUUUAAAGAAAGCGUAAUAGCUCACUGGUCGAGUCGGCCUGCGCGGAAGAUGUAACGGGGCUAAACCAUGCACCGAAGCUGCGGCAGCGACGCUUAUGCGUUGUUGGGUAGGGGAGCGUUCUGUAAGCCUGUGAAGGUGGCCUGUGAGGGUUGCUGGAGGUAUCAGAAGUGCGAAUGCUGACAUAAGUAACGAUAAAGCGGGUGAAAAGCCCGCUCGCCGGAAGACCAAGGGUUCCUGUCCAACGUUAAUCGGGGCAGGGUGAGUCGACCCCUAAGGCGAGGCCGAAAGGCGUAGUCGAUGGGAAACGGGUUAAUAUUCCCGUACUUGGUGUUACUGCGAAGGGGGGACGGAGAAGGCUAUGUUGGCCGGGCGACGGUUGUCCCGGUUUAAGCGUGUAGGUGUGUGUUCCAGGUAAAUCCGGUUCACUUUAACACUGAGGCGUGACGACGAGGCACUACGGUGCUGAAGCAACAAAUGCCCUGCUUCCAGGAAAAGCCUCUAAGCAUCAGGUAACAUCAAAUCGUACCCCAAACCGACACAGGUGGUCAGGUAGAGAAUACCAAGGCGCUUGAGAGAACUCGGGUGAAGGAACUAGGCAAAAUGGUGCCGUAACUUCGGGAGAAGGCACGCUGACACGUAGGUGAAGUGAUUUACUCAUGGAGCUGAAGUCAGUCGAAGAUACCAGCUGGCUGCAACUGUUUAUUAAAAACACAGCACUGUGCAAACACGAAAGUGGACGUAUACGGUGUGACGCCUGCCCGGUGCCGGAAGGUUAAUUGAUGGGGUCAGCGCAAGCGAAGCUCCUGAUCGAAGCCCCGGUAAACGGCGGCCGUAACUAUAACGGUCCUAAGGUAGCGAAAUUCCUUGUCGGGUAAGUUCCGACCUGCACGAAUGGCGUAAUGAUGGCCAGGCUGUCUCCACCCGAGACUCAGUGAAAUUGAACUCGCUGUGAAGAUGCAGUGUACCCGCGGCAAGACGGAAAGACCCCGUGAACCUUUACUAUAGCUUGACACUGAACAUUGAGCCUUGAUGUGUAGGAUAGGUGGGAGGCUUUGAAGUGUGGACGCCAGUCUGCAUGGAGCCGACCUUGAAAUACCACCCUUUAAUGUUU
rnacentral:rRNA from 1 species